rnacentral:rRNA from 1 species
UACGUAGGGACCAAGCGUUGUUCGGAUUUACUGGGCGUAAAGGGCGCGUAGGCGGCUUAACAAGUCACUUGUGAAAUCUCCGGGCUUAACUCGGAGCGGCCAAGUGAUACUGUCGUGCUAGAGUGCGGAAGGGGCAACUGGAAUUCUCGGUGUAGCGGUGAAAUGCGUAGAUAUCGAGAGGAACACCUGCGGCGAAGGCGGGUUGCUGGGCCGACACUGACGCUGAGGCGCGAAAGCCAGGGGAGCGAACGGG